GGGCUGUCGACUGUGGCUGCUAGUUGCAGAGACAGGUCACUCCGCUAGUUGCGUGGCAAAUAAAGUCAGAGCUAUAAUACCUCUCAUGCAGUAAUACGCGAUAUAUCGCGACAUAUAAGUAUGAGCCUUAAUUUACAUUUAUUGACAGGGCACGUAUUUAUAUUCUUCUUUCAUACGUGACGCACUAUUUAUUGGUCGCGGAAGCGAACGGUGAGAGAAGUUCUAGCGUUGGCGUUGAUGUCCCUGUGUUGACGCGGUCGCUCAACACCACCUUCAAGACCAUCACUGACGCGAGAACGAUGCCUUAUGCCCUGGUUUGUGAUGUUGUCGGUUGCCCGAACGGGCCAGGUAGUACUCUGCCUAAAACCGAGAGCGAAGCUGGUGCCUGGCCCGCCUGCUUUUACCAUUACGUGCCAAUCGGAGAACCACGACGUUCGCUGUGGAUGACCGCAGUGCCAUUUCGAAGGCUGGAAGGAAGAAAACAGAAAGUGUGCUCGUUGCAUUUUCGCCGAGAGGAUUACGCCGUCGACCCUGUCUUAUCCCUAGAGUUUGGUGUCUAUAAGAGACCUUUGCUUAAUGCGGACGCUGUUCCUUCGUUGCUCUUGGGAUAUGAACGGCAAGCAUCGCUACAAAAAGCCGAGAUUGGCGAAGUUCCCUGUGCUGACAGUCGUCCCUCGCAGACAGGUGCCGACAUUCCAAGGAGUCAGCACACGUGUUCAAAGUGUUCAUCGCACACUCGCGAUAUGGCAACUCAGGUUUCCUUUCACGCGUACACGAGGAAUAGAGGGGUCCAAGGAUCCCCACUGGUAAAGCAAACCACUAAUCGAGGUGUGCAGACUGGUGUGCCGCUCAGCAUCACGCUUGUCUGUCACUGCAAAAGGAGUAGCAGGGGAGCUUGGUGCGGUGGCUCAACCCGGUGACACAUCACUGUGUGGCAGCAAAAGUUACAGCUCUGGCAUCACUUCCUGUGCCAGGGAUACCCUGCACAGCACAUCUCAUGUCAGAGGAAGCCACCUCAUUGCAUUGACAGCCAGAAUCUGCGCGGCGUGUGUUUGCAGUUGUGCAACGUGAAGCUGUUCUCGGUGUGAUUGUGAAUUAGAAGACUCACUAGCUUUGGUUGACAAACGGACACAUACGCCAUUCCGGCAGGCCACAGAUUGGGUGGAGCCACCUGAAAGGCAACUUGGAUUUCGUCACCAUGUCAUUCUCUUCAAUGUCAACACCAAGUAUCCUACUCGAAGCAACGCAAGUAAUGAAGGGUCCUCAUCAUUAGGCCCUGUUACUGCUGUAUACGACUGCCUUCUGGACCUUUGGAGCAAGGUCGUGGUGUUGUGCUCAAAGGAGUUGUGACCAGUGCCAGCAGUCUUGCCUCGUGGAAGCAAGUCAUUCCAAGAGGGGAUGCUCGGCUUUUGGAGGAUCCUACGGAAAGACGCAACGCGGCAUUUGUAUUGUUAUAAAAUGGCGCCAAAAGGCAGCGCCCUCUAUGUUUUAAAAAGAAGUGACUGACCGGUUCUUGAGAAUCCAUAAAGUCAUAGUUGUAUAAUUCACAUGUA